rnacentral:rRNA from 1 species
AGCAGUCGCCGCGGUAAUACGUAGGUCCCGAGCGUUGUCCGGAUUUAUUGGGCGUAAGGCGAGCGCAGGCGGUUAGAUAAGUCUGAAGUUAAAGGCUGUGGCUUAACCAUAGUACGCUUUGGAAACUGUUUAACUUGAGUGCAGAAGGGGAGAGUGGAAUUCCAUGUGUAGCGGUGAAAUGCGUAGAUAUAUGGAGGAACACCGGUGGCGAAAGCGGCUCUCUGGUCUGUAACUGACGCUGAGGAGCGAAAGCGUGGGGAGCGAACAGGAUUAGAUACCCCUGUAGUCCCUGUCUCUUAUACA